AUCAUGAGUUCACAUGUCCGCAUGAUUAAAGGUAUUUUCCGGUAGACGAUGGGGAUGCGUUCCAUUAGAUAGUAGGCGGGGUAACGGCCCACCUAGUCAACGAUGGAUAGGGGUUCUGAGAGGAAGGUCCCCCACAUUGGAACUGAGACACGGUCCAAACUCCUACGGGAGGCAGCAGUGAGGAAUAUUGGUCAAUGGGCGAUGGCCUGAACCAGCCAAAUAGCGUGAAGGAUGACUGCCCUAUGGGUUGUAAACUUCUUUUAUAAAGGAAUAAAGUCGGGUAUGCAUACCCGUUUGCAUGUACUUUAUGAAUAAGGAUCGGCUAACUCCGUGCCAGCAGCCGCGGUAAUACGGAGGAUCCGAGCGUUAUCCGGAUUUAUUGGGUUUAAAGGGAGCGUAGAUGGAUGUUUAAGUCAGUUGUGAAAGUUUGCGGCUCAACCGUAAAAUUGCAGUUGAUACUGGAUGUCUUGAGUGCAGUUGAGGCAGGCGGAAUUCGUGGUGUAGCGGUGAAAUGCUUAGAUAUCACGAAGAACUCCGAUUG
rnacentral:rRNA from 1 species